AAUAAUUCUCUCCUCUGUUAUCAUUCUGUGGUUUUCGUAGAAGUCCAGUAUCUCAAUUGAGAUAUUCUUAACCACGUUCAUAUCAACAUGCAGUUCUUCAAACCAUGCAGUUGUGUCUUUCUCCCUUAGUACACUAGCAAUAUAUAUGCAAGCCAAAGCUAUCAAAUAGGGUGGAUGUACAAGAAUUAGAUCCAUCUUGUAGGUGUCGUUCACAAGUCCCCAAGUCAACUGAGUCAUAUUUAUGUCAUUCAGGCCUGCAUCUUGAAGCAACUGAGACAAUGCACGAUAAGGGUGGAAUACUACCAAAUAAUAGUCAAGGGCUUCUAAAAUUUUCAUUUCCAUUUCCAGUAUGUGUUUGAUCUCAUACUUGUACUUUUCAUCAGAUUGUAUUUUUUUAAUGUAAAACACUAGAAGUCUAGCUUGCACUGUGCUUUCUUCUGCUUUUGAAGCCAAAUAUAGGCAGGUUGGAGUCACUAAUCGAGGAUCGUAUUCUGUCAUACUCUUUCUAGUGUAAACACGUCUCAUAUAUGUAAUAGCAGUUGCAACAACCCUUUGUCUAACUUUCACAUUUUGGGCCAACUUCAAUAUAUAAUUUGCCAUAUGCAUCUUAAUGAGCUUGAAGUCUUCAAGAGUGAUGCCCCUAUCUUUAUCGAGCGAUUGCACCACAUCGACCUCCUCUUGGUCCAGGAGUUGUUUGUAGUGCGAUGAAGUCCAGAAGUUAGCCGCCAUACUUUGG
rnacentral:misc_RNA from 1 species